rnacentral:rRNA from 1 species
ACUCAAAUGAAUAGACGGGGCCCCGCACAAGCGGCGGAGCAUGCGGAUUAAUUCGAUGCAACGCGAAGAACCUUACCUGGGUUUGACAUAUAUCGGAAACGUUCAGAGAUGGGCGCCCCGUAAGGUCGGUAUACAGGUGGUGCAUGGCUGUCGUCAGCUCGUGUCGUGAGAUGUUGGGUUAAGUCCCGCAACGAGCGCAACCCUCGUCCAAUGUUGCCAGCGGGUUAUGCCGGGGACUCAUUGGAGACCGCCGGGGUCAACUCGGAGGAAGGUGGGGAUGACGUCAAGUCAUCAUGCCCCUUAUGUCCAGGGCUUCACGCAUGCUACAAUGGCCGGUACAAAGAGUUGCGAGCCUGUGAGGGUGAGCGAAUCUCAAAAAGCCGGUCUCAGUUCGGAUUGGGGUCUGCAACUCGACCCCAUGAAGUCGGAGUCGCUAGUAAUCGCAGAUCAGCAACGCUGCGGUGAAUACGUUCCCGGGGCUUGCACACACCGCCCGU